rnacentral:Y_RNA from 1 species
GGCUGGUCCAAAGUGGGUUACCUCAAUUGACUGUUCACAGUCAGUUACAGAUCCAACUCCUUGUUCUACUUUCUUCCCCCACUUCUCACUACUGCACUUGACUAUCUUAAA